rnacentral:rRNA from 1 species
AGGAAAUAGAUACCCUGGUAGUCCACGCCGUAAACUAUGGAUGCUAGCUGUUGGCCGUAUCGACCCGGUCAGUAGCGAAAGCUAACGCGUUAAGCAUCCCGCCUGUGGAGUACGGUCGCAAGACUAAAACAUAAAGGAAUUGACGGGGACCCGCACAAGCGGUGGAGCGUGUUGUUUAAUUCGAUGCUAAGCGAAGAACCUUACCCAGGUUUGACAUCUUCGGAAUUACUACGAAAGUAGUGAGUGCCUUCGGGAACCGAAUGACAGGUGAUGCAUGGCCGUCGUCAGCUCGUGUCGUGAGAUGUUU